GUGUCAGCCGCCGCGGUAAUACGUAGGGUGCAAGCGUUAAUCGGAAUUACUGGGCGUAAAGCGUGCGCAGGCGGUUUUGUAAGACAGGCGUGAAAUCCCCGGGCUCAACCUGGGAACUGCGUUUAUGACUGGCAGGCUAGAGUAUGGCAGAGGGGGGUGGAAUUCCGCGUGUAGCAGUGAAAUGCGUAGAGAUCGGGAGGAACAUCUGUGGCGAAGGCGGCCACCUGGACCAGCACUGACGCUCAGGCACGAAAGCGUGGGGAGCAAACAGGAUUAGAUACCCUGGUAGUCCACGCCCUAA
rnacentral:rRNA from 1 species